GUGGGGAAUCUUCCGCAAUGGACGAAAGUCUGACGGAGCGACGCCGCGUGAGUGAUGAAGGCCUUCGGGUCGUAAAGCUCUGUCAUCGGGGACGAAUGGUCGUUGGAGUGGAAAGCCAGCGAAAUGACGGUACCCGAGAAGGAAGCCACGGCUAACUACGUGCCAGCAGCCGCGGUAAUACGUAGGUGGCAAGCGUUGUCCGGAAUUAUUGGGCGUAAAGCGCGCGCAGGUGGGAUCUUAAGUCCAUUUUGAAAGUUCGGAGCUCAACUCCGUGAUGGGAUGGAAACUGGGAUUCUUGAGUACCGGAGAGGAAAGCGGAAUUCCCCGUGUAGCGGUGAAAUGCGUAGAUAUGGGGAGGAACACCAGUGGCGAAGGCGGCUUUCUGGACGGUGUCUGACACUGAGGCGCGAAAGCCAGGGGAGCGAACGGGAUUAGAAACCCGUGUAGUCC
rnacentral:rRNA from 1 species